UGUAGUAGUAGGCUUCUCUUCCCCCCCCAUUCACUUUGAUAUUCUAAUACGGAAACAUGAAACAAACAUGUCGUAGUUGAACAUAUACGUCUCCUAUAGCCUAUAACUCAUAGUUUAAACCUAAUUCCAAAAAGCCACAGAUUUGUACUAGCGGUCUGUUAGUGGGGUUAGUUAUACCCUUUCCCGUUUCCAGGAAACAUUUCCAGCCUGGCUGGACAGUUUGUGGGGUCUCCCUGCCGUAUUCUGCAAACUGCUGCUUGCUGUGACACAACACUGCUGACCAUGGAGGACCGAGAUGACUCUGAUGGUCGCAUGCGGUUGGACACAUGGAGGAGAGAAUCAUUUUCGCAGUAUCCUCAAAACCGUGUCUUUUUGACACAACUGCUGACAGCUACAGGGACAUAAACACAAAAAAUCCUGCUUGGAGACAAGUGUCCACGAUAGUAGGAUUGCCAGGUCAGUUUAGUAGUGGGCAUGUGCCAGAUGUGGCUAGUUAACGUGACCCACAACAAUGGGUCCUGGAGAAGACUAGCCUACCUUCAUCAGAGCAGAAGGCACCCCAAUGUUCUUUCCAUUUGGUAACAUUGCAUAAUUAAAAAAGGAUUCUAAACCAACUUUGGGAAAAGUUAUAGUCCUAAUGAACAUUCUGUAAAAGUACAUCUGAUGUCAAAUAGGGACUAUUAACUAGAGAGCCCUUUAGCUAGCUAGGUUGCACAUAAAAACAAUGUAUCAAAUAUAAAUCAAUUAUGGUAUCAAAGGCUUUAAAAAUGUACUAGAAUGUAGCUUACCGUAGACAAAUCACCAGGCGUUCAACUGGGCUGAUGGACUCCCGGUAGUUGGUAUCCAUCCGGAUGAUCCUGGCUCCAACCAUCUGAAGCAGGUGAUCGAACUGGCUUCGGUCCAGACGAAAGUAACUUCGGAAUUCCUCUCCAAGCAGUCGAAGCUCUUGAAUGAGACGGUGGAACUCCUCUGCCUGCUUUCGGGACUUUAACCAUCUCUGGACCCAUACAGACCUGCGCUUUCGGCGGGGCUGAUCCCGGCCCAACAGCGCGAUCAAGACCACCUUCCUCAACGUUGGUCUCAUUGUUGAAAGAGCCGACUCUGCUAUCUUGACUAUUAUGCAUUUUGCUCCAAAGCUGCAUUUUGGAGGGAAAUUAUAUUAUAGGCUCUCACAAUUAAUUUGUGGAUGUCAUCGAAUAAAUAAUAUACUUGGC
rnacentral:lncRNA from 1 species